CUGGGCAGUUAUAGGUUUAGUCUCUCUCUCUCUCUCUCUCUGUUCUUGAGGUCGAUGUCAUACAUCAGCGUUCAUAGAUUCCCUGUGCUGCUGUGUGCGAUUCUACUGAACAUCAGCAGUCUGUGCUGCUUUUAAGUUCAGCUAAUAGCAUCAACUAUCAGCUCACCUCAGCAACACGAACAUUAUUAGGCUUAUUAGAGGAACACUACCUGCUGACAUCAAAUUAUUUCUGUAUAUAGGGAAUGUCAAAUGAUAGAUUCAUAUUUAUGUUGCUUUCUUUUCUUUUUUCUUUUUCUUUUUACUCUGCGUCUUUAACGUGUGAUGAAUUCUAAAAUAGGCUACUUAUGAUUUGAAAACGUCUGUAGCUAAAAUAAAAUAUUUUCUAGUUAUAGCCUAACCGGGAUACUUUUUUAAAUGUAAUAUUAAGUUGAUUUUAAUCGCAAACUGUAGAGAUUUUUACAUACUGCAUUGUAGAUGCUAAAACGAAAUAAUAAAAGCGAAAAGUGUGCGAUGCGCUAGUGUGUUUAUGCAGUUCUCCUGACAAACAGCAGGCGGCGUCACGGACUGUCAGGAUAAACAAACCGCCUCAGAUCGGUGUUUGUGGGGGUUCCCUUCAUUUUCUCUCACAGGUCUGCUUGAAAAUAAGAUUAAGUAUGAUAAAUCAAGCUAAUUAAGGAAUCAUUAGUAAGCAUAACAAAGUGUUUUUAGUCGAUAUUGCUACAGAAUGGCUGGAAAAGCAUGUUUGAAGAUGUUUUAGUUCAGUACUUCAGUGCAAAACCCUCAAAACAAAUACUAGGCUAUUAAUAGUUCAAUAAGUAAAUAGAGAAAUCAUAAAACAUUAUUCAUAACGCAUGUGCCAAGUCCUGUAAACUCAGUAAUUUAUGCCAUUUUGACAGCAGUUUUGAUUUAAUAACCAUCGAGAAAGAUUUUCUGUACACUUUCAAUACAUGAUUUUUGUAUUUAGGUCACACAGGAGCCCUCGGGCAGCAGUAAAGCAUGUCCUCUACAGGAGUGAUUGACACCUUCUCUGAUGGUGAAUGAAGUCUCCAGCUUCUCUGGGCUCCAGCCACAGUAAUAAACCAGCGCUGCACACUGACGGAUGCAAUCAUCUUUUAUUUCCCAUUAAUGAAACAACAACUCAUUUUAUGGCCUACUGAACCGAACAGCAUGGAUUGUGAAUUAAAUUGAGAGGUCUUCAGCCGCAGCGAUGUUAACGUCCCGUGGCUGUUCUCCAGUGAUGAGUCCAGAUGGAGGAUAUGUUGGUACCUGCCCUUCUAUUUCCAUUGCCAGCUCACUCCCUCCAGCCCUCGGUACACCUCCACGCCAUCUGUGCCAACCUGCCGUCUCUCCGUCAGACAGUUGCAGGUUCCGUGGUGCGUGGCAGGCCUACAGCUGUGCAGACAGCCAGCCCAACAUCUGUGUGUCCUGUGGGACAGACGGGGGGGGGGAAUGUCCCGCUGAUCUUCUCAGCUGCUGCUGGCCUUAAACACAGCCAUGGGCCGGCAGUUCUGCGGACAGGAUGAGUUUUGCAAUAGACCUGCUGGGCGUGGAUCGGUGUGGACAGCCAAUAGCAGGCCGGCAGAUGGGUGGCGGUCAGUGGCCAAUGAGGCAGGGUGGGGUUACUGUGUCACAAUAAAGGAAAGGAGAUCAGAAGAGAUGCAUUAUACAUAUCAAAGUGGUUUUAUUCAGCGCUGCACUGGAGGAUGACAUCUGAAUGAAGACGCUGCUGCACUGAGCAUUCAAUAUAUAUGAUCAAUACAUGGAUUCCCAACAGCAGAUAGCAUCCAUUCCCCAUGCAGAGGAACAUCCGGACAUCCGGCUGGAGUCACUCCGAGAGAGCGAACCGCAGGAGACGUGUCCAUAGGCAACGCCUAUCCGUGGACACAACAUCCUCGGCGUGCCUGGUGCACAUGACUAGCCCCCUGAGAAACAACAGCGAGAGCCGCCCUGAUAUCUGCUCUGUGAUAGCAGCCAACACGACUCCCCUCGGCUAAACCCGCCGCACCAUCCGCGGCUGUCUCGUGUGGGCUGUGCGAACCCAGCGCCAACAUUGUUAUUGGCUCCAAAAGCAAAGGAAACCGUGGCUUUUUCUGUGUUUGGUGUCUCGUGACAUAAGCCUGUCUGCUCUGUGAAUCAAUGGCUGCUUCAGACAAGCUUACGGUGCAUGUGGAAGCUCAGUUAUGCUGCAGUGAAGCAGCUCAUGCAUGGAGAGAAUCAGAAUGAAUGUUGUAGACAGUUAUUAAUGUGACAAACACGUCUUAAAAGGAAAAAUAAGACAGAACUGUGCGUAUAGAAAGGGAAUCCUGGGGGGGAAAGAUGGUCUGUAAUUCAGUAAAUGGUGCAGAGGUUGUGCUGGGCGGUGGGUGGAGGGAAUGUAAUGAGUUGUGCAGCUCACGUGAAGACAGCCGUGGAAAAAACACUACCGGACACGGUGAACGGGAACAAUACGGGCGCCUUAAAAAUCACAGGGCUGUUUGAGAAGAGAUUGAUUCCUAAAAUGCGAACCGCCCCAGAUUUUCGUCUUUAUUUGCCAGUGGAAUAUUUCAUGCCGCCUGUUGAGUUAAUCGUAACAGCAGACUUUCUAGUAAGUUGCGUGUGUGGAGGGGAUUUGUGUAAAUGUAUGAGGAUAAGCGAGCGUGUUGCGGUGGCUGAGUCUAAUGAUGUGCUGUGGUUUUGGCAGUGACGAGUGACAGCUCCUGUAUUCUGCAGCAUGCACAGAUCUGUGCUGAAUCUGAACACCACUGGCAGAGCCUGUGCAGGCAAGAAAAAGAGCAAUUUGUCUACAAAUCGCACUGGAGAUGGAAGAUCAGUGGAUACAGGAAAAAUAGAAAUGAUUUUGUAAUAUGAUUAGAAUUUACUGUAAAGAGGAAAGAGAGCAUGUGAUAAGGCAGAUGCGAAACUAACACAGCCAAGUAUGAAAGGUUGCCUGGGCCAAUGGUUUAUUAUGGUUUUAUUGGACAUUAAAAUUAUUUGCUGUGAUUUUCCAAUCAGAAUAAAGCAUUUCGGACAGACUGACUAAUAAAUAAUGUAAUUUAAAAUGA